UACGUAGGGACCAAGCGUUGUCCGGAAUCAUUGGGCGUAAAGAGCUCGUAGGCGGUUCAGCAAGUCGGGUGUGAAACCUCCAGGCUCAACCUGGAGACGCCACCCGAUACUGCUGUGACUUGAGUCCGGUAGGGGACCACGGAAUUCCUGGUGUAGCGGUGAAAUGCGCAGAUAUCAGGAGGAACACCGGUGGCGAAGGCGGUGGUCUGGGCCGGAACUGACGCUGAGGAGCGAAAGCGUGGGGAGCAAACAGG
rnacentral:rRNA from 1 species